rnacentral:lncRNA from 1 species
UAGAAAGGCAGCUUGAGCUAAAGUCCACCUCUGACUCCCCAUCCUUAGCCCUGUUCACAGGAAAGGGUCAACAAGACAUGAUUGGUUAGAGUCAACACUGGAAAUGGAGACUUGUCAUCCCAGCUACCCAGGAGGCUAAGGCAGGAAGACUGCAAGUUUAACAUCAGUUAGGAGAGUCUUGCCGAUUUACUGAGAUUCUGUUUUAAAACAGAAAGAGUAAAAAGAGAUCUGGGGAUGUAACAUAUUGGGCAGCACACUUCACAAGCCUAUGUUAGGCUCUGGGUUCAAUCUCUAAUACUGCAGUAGACAGACAGAAGACAGCCUGGCCACUGUGAGAAGAGCCUUGCAGCAAGCAGAGCCACAGAGAGUGUAGCACUAACAAUAUCGGAUUCCCAGGGCUGCAAAGAGAGC